UACGUAGGGACCAAGCGUUGUUCGGAUUUACUGGGCGUAAAGGGCGCGUAGGCGGCGUGGUAAGUCACUUGUGAAAUCUCCGAGCUUAACUCGGAACGGUCAAGUGAUACUGCUGUGCUAGAGUACAGAAGGGGCAAUCGGAAUUCUUGGUGUAGCGGUGAAAUGCGUAGAUAUCAAGAGGAACACCUGAGGUGAAGACGGGUUGCUGGGCUGAUACUGACGCUGAGGCGCGAAAGCUAGGGUAGAAAACGGG
rnacentral:rRNA from 1 species